AGGUCUUCGGAUGCUGACGAGUGGCGAACGGGUGAGUAAUACAUCGGAACGUGCCUGGUAGUGGGGGAUAACUACUCGAAAGAGUAGCUAAUACCGCAUGAGAUCUACGGAUGAAAGCAGGGGACCUUCGGGCCUUGUGCUACUAGAGCGGCUGAUGGCAGAUUAGGUAGUUGGUGGGGUAAAGGCUUACCAAGCCUGCGAUCUGUAGCUGGUCUGAGAGGACGACCAGCCACACUGGGACUGAGACACGGCCCAGACUCCUACGGGAGGCAGCAGUGGGGAAUUUUGGACAAUGGGCGAAAGCCUGAUCCAGCAAUGCCGCGUGCAGGAUGAAGGCCCUCGGGUUGUAAACUGCUUUUGUACGGAACGAAAAGCCUGGGGCUAAUAUCCCCGGGUCAUGACGGUACCGUAAGAAUAAGCACCGGCUAACUACGUGCCAGCAGCCGCGGUAAUACGUAGGGUGCAAGCGUUAAUCGGAAUUACUGGGCGU
rnacentral:rRNA from 1 species